GCGGGUGUUACGAUUGAUUAUCCGAAGGUGGGGGAGGCGUCGGGUGCACGGGCCAUCAUUGCAAUUCAUGGCUCUACAACUACAUCUCGCAGUGCCCUACCAAUGUAUAAUUCUCGAGGGGCGGAGGAGCAGGGAGUGAAGAUAGAAUUUUUUUUUGGCGGGCUAUGGGGCGCUGCAGUCGCUCGUAUUAGGAUGGGAUGGUUAUCCGGGGAGAGUCGAGGAUACAUAGAGGAUAAUUUUUAUUAUUUUUUUUUCGCUUCGUCAGACCCAACGUUUUAGUCGUCGCAACAAUUCGCAAGAGUAUACGCAGUAAAAGAACAAAUUCAAUACCACCGACUAAAUAACUUAUAUUUAACAUCGCUCGUUAUUAUUUUAUAACUUGACACUUGCAGUUGCUUAUUACAUGCGUUCCGGAUUUGUAUCUAUAAGGGAUCGUGGCACCCAUCACUAUGAUGGAGACAAUGAUGGGAGACUUGUUUCAAAAGAUGUCCGCUCUUCUCUACCAUCUGUGGCCGCUUUCCAGAACCGCGCGAACAAAUUUAUAUAUAAAUAUAUUCGGGGGCUUUGAGCUUCCUUAUUUCAUGGUUCGAAUACUGUCCUACGGGACUCCAGUCCUCGAAUCAUCAAAUAUUUAAAUCUAACACGAUCGAUUAAUCCUCUGAAAUACGUGACAUCGCCUUUUGCUUACAUCAUAUUCAACCGAUAAUUCUUAUUAUUAGCCUUGAUUAGCCUUGAAUAAUUACUCUUAUUUCUGCUUCCGUUUUGGCGGUGCUCGCUAGGUCACAUAGUGGCAAAUCAUCAUGAUCGUUCAACGCACCACCUCUUCCCAGCUACUGCAUCUCUAUUGAUAAAUAUAUAUAUAUAUAUAUAUACGCCGGGUACAUUUCGUCUGACGUCCGCGUCGACGGGCCUGAUGACUCCUUUCGUGAUGAAUUCUCCCCUCACUCCUUUCGUUACCGUUGUUAGCUACCGUGUUCAUUGACAUGACAUAUAUCUCAUGCCUGCAUAUUUGUAUGCAUCAGCGUAUAAUUAUAUCGAGUACCAAUGUAAUUUGUGUAACGUUAGACGGGUAAUGAUCAAUACACGGUGAAAACUGGGCGCAGACGCUGCGCUUUGACGCCCGA